rnacentral:lncRNA from 1 species
UCUUUUCUCCCACAACCCAUUUGAAAAUGCCCCUCACCACCGACGCCAUUCUCUUCUGCUUCAUUCUUUGAACAUACGACAGUCGCAGCUAAGGCCACCCAUGAAACAAAGCACAUGUAAUGAUCCAGUGACAGUAAUGAAUGCCAUAUUAUCCAAAUAACAAUCAGCUUCACGUGAAAUUCCGUUCAUUUGGAGAGGAAUCAAA